CUCAUAUUGAAACCUAGUGAUGUAUGAGUUAGUGGCGGACGGGUGAGUAACGCGUGGAGAACCUGCCGUAUACUGGGGGAUAACACUUAGAAAUAGGUGCUAAUACCGCAUAAGCGCACAGCUUCGCAUGAAGCAGUGUGAAAAACUCCGGUGGUAUACGAUGGAUCCGCGUCUGAUUAGCUGGUUGGCGGGGUAACAGCCCACCAAGGCGACGAUCAGUAGCCGGCCUGAGAGGGUGAACGGCCACAUUGGGACUGAGACACGGCCCAAACUCCUACGGGAGGCAGCAGUGGGGAAUAUUGCACAAUGGGGGAAACCCUGAUGCAGCGACGCCGCGUGAGUGAAGAAGUAUUUCGGUAUGUAAAGCUCUAUCAGCAGGGAAGAAAUACUGACCUUACGGUCAGCAGACGGUACCUGACUAAGAAGCCCCGGCUAACUACGUGCCAGCAGCCGCGGUAAUACGUAGGGGGCAAGCGUUAUCCGGAUUUACUGGGUGUAAAGGGAGCGUAGACGGCAGCGCAAGUCUGAAGUGAAAUCCCAUGGCUUAACCAUGGAACUGCUUUGGAAACUGUGCAGCUGGAGUGCAGGAGAGGUAAGCGGAAUUCCUAGUGUAGCGGUGAAAUGCGUAGAUAUUAGGAGGAACACCAGUGGCGAAGGCGGCUUACUGGACUGUAACUGACGUUGAGGCUCGAAAGCGUGGGGAGCAAACAGGAUUAGAUACCCUGGUAGUCCACGCCGUAAACGAUGAUUACUAGGUGUUGGGGGACCAAGGUCCUUCGGUGCCGGCGCAAA
rnacentral:rRNA from 1 species